rnacentral:rRNA from 1 species
CCUACGGGGGGCAGCAGUGGGGGAUAUUGCACAAUGGGGGAAACCCUGAUGCAGCGACGCCGCGUGGGCGAAGAAUUCUUUCGGUAUGUAAAGCCCUAUCAGCAGGGAAGAAGAAAUGACGGUACCUGACUAAGAAGCACCGGCUAAAUACGUGCCAGCAGCCGCGGUAAUACGUAUGGUGCAAGCGUUAUCCGGAUUUACUGGGUGUAAAGGGAGCGCAGGCGGCAGGGCAAGCCUGAUGUGAAAGCCCGCGGCCCAACCGCGGGACUGCAUUGGGAACUGGCGGGCUGGAGUGCCGGAGAGGUAGGCGGAAUUCGUAGUGUAGCGGUGAAAUGCGUAGAUAUUAGGAGGAACACCAGUGGCGAAGGCAGCUUACCAG